UGGGGUUUGGCUCAGUGGUAGAGCACUUGCCUGAGCACGCAUGAAGCACUGGGAUUGAUCCUCAGCACCACAU
rnacentral:tRNA from 1 species